AUCCCUGUAGCUCAGAUGGUAAAGAAUCUGCCUGCAAUGCAGGAGACCCAGGUUCGAGCCCCAGGUUGGGAUG
rnacentral:tRNA from 1 species